rnacentral:tRNA from 1 species
AGGGCUGUAGUCAAGCGGUUAAGACUCGACACUUUGACUGUCGCAUACGUGGGUUCAAAUCCCACCAGCCCCGCUA